ensembl:lncRNA
CAACAAUUGAAAUCAGGCUUAAAAUGUCGACUGAAACCUUUGUGUGUCAUUAAUUACACAAACGCUCAUUAACUCAAGAUCAUUGUUGUUUCACUUCAUUCAAGUCAACGAGUAAUAAAGAACAUGUGAUUCUCUUUGGUCUGAAGAAAACAAGACGGAUUCAUUUGGUUUUAUUUUUAUUAAAAUGUAUUUUCAUUGUUAAAAUAAUAAACAUUUAUAAACCAUAAUAAACAACAUAUUUAACAAUAAUAAUAAAACAAUCAUUGGGAAAACAUCUGAAGCAGUUCCUGAGAAGAGAGAAAAGAAGAAGUUAUUAACAUGUUAAUGUUGUUAGUGUGUCUGUGUGUACAUCUAAAUGUUAGUGUGUCUGUGUGUACAUCUAAAUGUUAGUGUGUCUGUGUGUACAUCUAAAUAUUAAUAUGUCUUUGUGUACAUCUAAAUAUUAGUGUGUGUCUUUGUUUAGUACCAAAUGUUAGUGUGUCUGUGUGUACAUCUAAAUAUUAAUGUCUUUGUGUACAUCUAAAUAUUAGUGUGUGUCUUUGUGUACAUCUAAAUGUUAGUGUGUGUCUUUGUUUAGAACCAAAUGUUAGUGUGUCUGUGUGUACAUCUAAUUGUUAGUGUGUCUGUGUGUACAUCUAAAUAUUAGUGUGUGUCUUUGUGUACAUCUAAAUGUUAGUGUGUGUCUUUGUUUAGAACCAAAUGUUAGUGUGUCUGUGUGUACAUCUAAUUGUUAGUGUGUCUGUGUGUACAUCUAAUUGUUAGUGUGUCCCGAUGACGUAGUGUCCCGAUGACGUGGUGUCCUGAUGGCGUCCUGAUGGCAUCCCGAUGACGUGGCGUCCUGAUGGCGUCCUGUUGGUCUGCAGACAAGGAGAAGAGACGUGAGGAGGAUCAUCAGGAUGUGUCUAUUUGGAUUUGCUCCUGAGGGGUUGACGCGGCGUCCUGAUGGCGUCCUGAUGGCGUCCCGAUGACGUGGUGUCCUGAUGGCGUCCCGAUGACGUGGCGUCCUGAUGGCGUCCUGUUAGUCUGCAGACAAGGAGAAGAGACAUCUGGAUUUGCUCCUGAGGGGUUGACGCGAGGUCCUGAUGGCGUCCUGAUGGCGUCCCGAUGACAUGGCGUCCUGAUGGCGUCCCGAUGACAUGGUGUCCUGAUGGCGUCCUGAUGGCGUCCUGUUGGUCUGCAGACAAGGAGAAGAGACGUGAGGAGGAUCAUCAGGAUGUGUCUGUGUGUACAUCUAAUUGUUAGUGUGUCUGUGUGUACAUCUAAAUAUUAAUGUGUCUUUGUGUACAUCUAAAUGUUAAAUGUGUGUCUUUGUUUAGAACCAAAUGUUAGUGUGUGUCGUUGUUUAGAACCAAAUGAUAGUUGUCUGUGUGUAGAUGUCAUUGUUAGUGUGUCUUUGUUUAGAACCAAAUGUUAGUGUGUCUGUGUGUACAUCUAAAUAUGAAUAUGUCUUUUGUGUACAUCUAAAUGUUAGUGUGUGUCAUUGUUUAGAACCAAAUGAUAGUGUGUCUGUGUGUACAUCUAAUUGUUAUUGUCUUUGUGUACAUCUUAAUAUUAGUGUUUGUCUUUGUUUAGAACCAAAUGUUAGUGUGUAUGUGUGUACAUCUAAUUGUUAGUGUGUCUGUGUGUACAUCUAAAUAUUAAUGUGUCUUUGUGUACAUCUAAAUGUUAGUGUGUGUCUUUGUGUACAACUAAAUAUUAGUGUGUGUCGUUGUUUAGAACCAAAUGAUAGUGUGUCUGUGUGUAGAUGUCAUUGUUAGUGUGUCUGUGUGUACAUCUAAUUGUUAUUAUGUAUUUGUGUACAGCUAAAUAUUAGUGUGUGUCAUUGUUUAGAACCAAAUGUUAGUGUGUCUGUGUGUACAUCUGUGUGUGUGUGUGGGGGGGGAGUGU